CGAGGGGGACAAGACGAUCGCGGUGGGUGCCCCGGUGGCCCAUCGAGGAAAGUCCGGGCUCCGCAGGGCAGGGUGCUGGCGCAGGCCAGUCGGGGUGACCCGAAGGAAAGUGCCACAGAAAACAGACCGCCCACGUUCGCGUGGGUCAGGGUGAAAAGGUGCGGUAAGAGCGCACCGGGGACCUGGCGACAGGGACCGCAGGGUAAACCCCACCCGGAGCAAGGCCAAGCAGGGGCAGAGAUCUGGUCGAAAGGCCAGGUCUCAGGGGUGGCCCGCCCCGCCUCGGGUAGCGCCGCUUAGAUGAAUGAUCGCCACCCGGCGGAGGCAACGACGCCGGGGACAGAACCCGGCUUACGACCUCGCUCGACCG
rnacentral:RNase_P_RNA from 1 species